rnacentral:rRNA from 1 species
UAGGGAAUAUUGGUCAAUGGGUGAGAGCCUGAACCAGCCAUGCCGCGUGCAGGAAGAAGGCCUUCUGGGUUGUAAACUGCUUUUGCCGGGGGAUAAAAUGGCUUUGCGAAGCUAAUUGAAGGUACCCGGUGAAUAAGCCACGGCUAACUACGUGCCAGCAGCCGCGGUAAUACGUAGGUGGCAAGCGUUGUCCGGAUUUAUUGGGUUUAAAGGGUGCGUAGGCGGUUCUUUAAGUCAGUGGUGAAAUACAGCCGCUUAACGGUUGAGGUGCCAUUGAUACUGAAGAACUUGAGUACAGACGAGGUAGGCGGAAUUGACGGUGUAGCGGUGAAAUGCUUAGAUAUCGUCAAGAACACCGAUAGCGAAGGCAGCUUACUAGACUGUAACUGACGCUGAGGCACGAAAGUGUGGGGAUCAAACAGGAUUAGAUACCCUCGUAGUCCCUGAGCGGGCUGGCAAGGCGCAU